AUGAACGCUGGCGGCGUGCCUAAUACCUGCAAGUCGAGCGAACAGAUGAGGAGCUUGCUCCUCUGACGUUAGCGGCGGACGGGUGAGUAACACGUGGAUAACCUACCUAUAAGACUGGGAUAACUUCGGGAAACCGGAGCUAAUACCGGAUAAUAUAUUGAACCGCAUGGUUCAAUAGUGAAAGGCGGUUUUGCUGUCACUUAUAGAUGGAUCCGCGCCGCAUUAGCUAGUUGGUAAGGUAACGGCUUACCAAGGCAACGAUGCGUAGCCGACCUGAGAGGGUGAUCGGCCACACUGGAACUGAGACACGGUCCAGACUCCUACGGGAGGCAGCAGUAGGGAAUCUUCCGCAAAGGGCGAAAGCCUGACGGAGCAACGCCGCGUGAGUGAUGAAGGUCUUCGGAUCGUAAAACUCUGUUAUUAGGGAAGAACAAAUGUGUAAGUAACUAUGCACGUCUUGACGGUACCUAAUCAGAAAGCCACGGCUAACUACGUG
rnacentral:rRNA from 1 species